rnacentral:rRNA from 1 species
AAACUUUACAAUGCAGGAAACUGUGAUAAGGGAACCUCGAGUGCCUGUAUGGACAGGCUGUUCAGGUGCGUAAAAAACACCUGGAGAAAGGGCCGGGCAAGACCGGUGCCAGCCGCCGCGGUAAUACCGGCGGCUCGAGUGGUGGCCACUAUUACUGGGCUUAAAGCGUCCGUAGCUGGGUAGUUAAGUCUCUGGGGAAAUCUUCCGGCUCAACCGGAAGGCGUCUCAGGGAUACUGGCUGCCUUGGGAUCGGGAGAGGUGAGAGGUACUCUGGGGGUAGGAGUGAAAUCCUGUUAUCCUCAGGGGACCACCUGUGGCGAAGGCGUCUCACCAGAACGACUCCGACAGUGAGGGACGAAAGCUGGGGGAGCAAACCGG